UGGGGAAUUUUCCGCAAUGGGCGAAAGCCUGCCGGAGCAAUGCCGCGUGGAGGUGGAAGGCCUACGGGUCGUCAACUUCUUUUCUCGGAGAAGAAACAAUGACGGUAUCUGAGGAAUAAGCAUCGGCUAACUCUGUGCCAA
rnacentral:rRNA from 1 species